AUUGAACGCUGGCGGAAUGCUUUACACAUGCAAGUCGAACGGCAGCACGGGGCAACCUGGUGGCGAGUGGCGAACGGGUGAGUAAUACAUCGGAACGUGCCCAAUCGUGGGGGAUAACGUAGCGAAAGUUACGCUAAUACCGCAUACGAUCUACGGAUGAAAGCGGGGGAGUCGCAAGACCUCGCGCGAAUGGAGCGGCCGAUGUCAGAUUAGGUAGUUGGUGGGGUAAAGGCUCACCAAGCCAACGAUCUGUAGCUGGUCUGAGAGGACGACCAGCCACACUGGAACUGAGACACGGUCCAGACUCCUACGGGAGGCAGCAGUGGGGAAUUUUGGACAAUGGGCGCAAGCCUGAUCCAGCCAUUCCGCGUGCAGGAUGAAGGCCUUCGGGUUGUAAACUGCUUUUGUACGGAACGAAACGGCGAGCUCUAAUACAGUUUGCUAAUGACGGUACCGUAAGAAUAAGCACCGGCUAACUACGUGCCAGCAGCCGCGGUAA
rnacentral:rRNA from 1 species